UACCAGACUCCUACGGGAGGCAGCAGUGAGGAAUAUUGGUCAAUGGCCGAGAGGCUGAACCAGCCAAGUCGCGUGAGGGAUGACGGCCCUACGGGUUGUAAACCUCUUUUGUCGGGGAGCAAAGAGAGUCACGUGUGGCUCAUUGAGAGUACCCGAAGAAAAAGCAUCGGCUAACUCCGUGCCAGCAGCCGCGGUAAUACGGAGGAUGCGAGCGUUAUCCGGAUUUAUUGGGUUUAAAGGGUGCGCAGGCGGAGGUGCAAGUCAGGGGUCAAAUUGCGGGGCUCAACCCUGUACUGCCGUUGAAACUGGGGAUCUAGAGUGUGCGAGAGGUAUGCGGAAUGCGUGGUGUAGCGGUGAAAUGCAUAGAUAUCACGCAGAACCCCGAUUGCGAAGGCAGCAUACCGGUGCACAACUGACGCUCAGGCACGAAAGCGUGGGUAUCGAACAGGAUUAGAUACCCUAGUACA
rnacentral:rRNA from 1 species